AACUCCAGCCACCAUAAGAGAAUUGAGAGGUUGAGAGAGGGUUACCGGAUUUAGGAUGAAGGCAGAGGAGCUAGGCAGAGCUGCCACUUCGGAAGAAGAAAACCGGCAAAGGAAAGAAAAUCCAUCCGAAAAUGGUGAAAACCUUUAACUGAAGGGAAACCGAGCACCCACUAGAAUGCCCGACCCUUUUUCCGUUCUGGUUAAGAUGAGGAAGAUAGUGAGGAAUUGAUCGCUAACCUACUAUUUGAAGUUUUUGAGGAUCCCCUGGAUCCAUAAACCUUGAGUGCAUGACUUGUCAUGUAGUCUAAUGAGUCCUUUCACAUAAUGAUAAAAAUGACCCUUUUUGUAUUUUGAUCUUUUGUAUUUUGUUGCCACUUCUGGCUUCAGAUAUAUGUGUAAUUGGAACUCAUAUAUUUUGUAAGGGAUUUGUAAUAAAUUGCUUUACUGCGUACAAUUAAUUAUUA